rnacentral:lncRNA from 1 species
GGGGGGGGGGGGGGGGGGGGGGAAGGAGGGGGAGGUGGAAGCGAUCAUUAACCCUUUUCUUGCAUUUACCUUUUCUACUGUGAUUUUUGGCUGCGUUUUUAAAGCACACGGGGGGAUUUUUCUUCUCUACAAAGCACGUAAACCCGCUGCCAUCAGGCCCUGCGGGCCCCGCUCCCGCAGCCCAGCUCGGCGACCAGCGGGUGAGUAGGGUCUGCACAGUAGCCCCACGGCCGCUCCAAAAAAAGGUCCAAGGGCAACGCCGAAAAAUGCAUGACCUUCCGAAAUUACUUUUUGGAAAAUAACCGCCCACGCAGCCGCCCCGGCCGAGCGUCCCUCAGGAGAGGCCCACCGGGCGAAGGGAACACAGUUCCCGCUCUGGCCGUGCUGGUUUCAUCUUUCUAACUCUCUUUUUUUUUUCAGCAGGGCGUUAUCGUUCCUCAGCAUUCACACCUGGGGGGGAGGAAGUACCAGUGUAAGGUAAGCGGCACCGCCGCCUGCCCCCGCCACAGCGGCCAGCGGGCCGAGGAAGGCAGCGAGGCCACGACCCUCCCCCCACACACCAGCCCCGCCGCAACCCCGGCCUCACGCCGCCGGCCUGCGACCGACACGCAGACCGCCGCGCUGCCCCAGCGGCGCGAAUUUUCCUAUUGGGCAUUUCCUUUGCGAUCGCGCCCAGCAACUAAAGGCGCAUUGGUGCAUUCCCGGCGCGCUCCGCUCACUGGCCGCGCGCUCGGCGCGGCAUUGGCCGGCGGGAAUGUCCGUCCGCGCGGGGCGGCCCGGCCCCUGGGCGAGCGCGCGGGGCAGCAGCGCGGCAGGCGGUCGGCGGGAACGGCCGGUGCAGCCGCUGCAGCGCGGCGUGAGGCGCCGCCCGCCAGCCCUGGGCGGGAGCGGGGCGCGGGGCACGGCGCUGCCGGCCGCUGCCCGCGGGAGCGGGGCGCUGGCCAUGUGCGUUCGGCAGGAGCAGCAGGGACCGCUCUCACCUCACCGGACGGGCUCCACUGAAACCCUCUUGUGUUGCCACCCGUGAAAAAAAGUCAGAAAUAAAGUUCAAAAUCUUGUGUGAAAAACCCACAAGUAAGUUAAUAUUUCAGUAUGAGAGGACAAAAAGGUGGCACAGAUCCAAUCCCAGCCUAAAUCUGCAGGUCUAAGUAAAUUACUGGAUGUUUAAUUAUCAGUUCUGAUCAUGCAUGCUGUUCUUAAUAAGUGAAAGCAAAUUUGACUUUGUCGCUU